rnacentral:rRNA from 1 species
AUUGAACGCUGGCGGCAGGCCUAACACAUGCGAGUCGAGCGGAUGAAGGGAGCUUGCUCCUGGAUUCAGCGGCGGACGGGUGAGUAACGCCUAGGAAUCUGCCUGGUAGUGGGGGAUAACGUCCGGAAACGGGCGCUAAUACCGCAUACGUCCUGAGGGAGAAAGUGGGGGAUCUUCGGACCUCACGCUAUCAGAUGAGCCUAGGUCGGAUUAGCUAGUUGGUGGGGUAAAGGCCUACCAAGGCGACGAUCCGUAACUGGUCUGAGAGGAUGAUCAGUCACACUGGAACUGAGACACGGUCCAGACUCCUACGGGAGGCAGCAGUGGGGAAUAUUGGACAAUGGGCGAAAGCCUGAUCCAGCCAUGCCGCGUGUGUGAAGAAGGUCUUCGGAUUGUAAAGCACUUUAAGUUGGGAGGAAGGGCAGUAAGUUAAUACCUUGCUGUUUUGACGUUACCAACAGAAUAAGCACCGGCUAACUUCGUG